GUGCCUCUCUGGCUUCACAGCAUCAGCUCCAGCAGUGACAGCGGUUAUUUUUGGACUGGGGGUCAUGUUACGACUAUGAGAAGAGCCUUCGGACAGGAACUCACCAAGCGAGACACCCAGCAGCUCCAGCAUUCUUGGCACAUAUGCCGAGGUGGGGCUAGCUCACCCCAGAGCUGAACAGUACAGGAAAACCAAAAGAAAACCAAUCUCAUCUUCAACUCUAGCUGAACUCUUCUCAACAGCCUCAGCCCUAUUUCUAAAUCAGCUGAGUUUUUUGGAGAAGGAGAGGAAAUCCAUCAGAUCCGCAGCACAGCACCCAACCCCAGUGCCAUACAUUCUGGAUGCUUCAAAGUAGCAGGAAGUGGAGACCUAAUAAGGUGUAUCCUCCAGGCUUCCUGUUAGGCUAACCCCGGAACCCUGGGCCCAAGACUGCAUACUGGUGAUGAAGGGGUUAACUGCUUCCAUCAGCAGGAGACCCCGCCCACCCCAGGGGAGGAGAUCAGGUGCCCAUCUGGAUCCAAUCCCACCUGGACCCAUGUAGAUAAAAAUAGAGGCUGCAGGGUGAUGGGCCGUAGCUAAGGCACACCAGCCGCACAUCAAAGCCCUUGAGACAAGGUACAGAGCUGGGGCGAGGGUCAAGGGCUGGUUUGGAGCAGUGGGCAGCCGCGUGCGUCCACGUUCAUCUCAACUGGGCUGGAGCGUCUGCACGGUCUCAUCUCCAAAUUGAGCUUGGCUUUGAACCAUGGGGAUCAGCCUCUCCUUGCCCGUUUCACAGAUAAUAUGCGUAGAUUAGACAUGUUGAAAGGAUAUGUUUCCAAUUUGACUCGUGCCACCCUCCUCCUCCCCCAUCUCUCCCCUCUUUCUCUUCUCAUCCCUUCCUCCCUCUGUCUGCCUCCCUGUCUGCCUGGGCCAUGUGUCUGACAGCUGAUUAAUUCUCCUGUGGAGAGGGGGAGCCAAACGGUGGAUUGAUAAAUCAUUUCUUUAUGCAUCCUCAGGUAAAUAAAAAAAACCUGGCCCUGGUUAAAAAUACAUUGAUCCUCUGUCUGACGUGCCACAGAUGCUCCACAUUAAUGUCUUCCUGGCCUUCCUUGGAGUAGCUCUGUAAUUUAUUAACUGUUUUUACAUACAGACCCAACAGACGUGUUUUAUCUCUACAAUAGCACAGUGCUCUGCAGACCAUUAAAUCAAAAGCAAUGUUCAACAUAUUUUUCUCAAAAA